GAGGCUGAAGUGUGGAAGAAGUGUCUCUUAUUUCCCACUGCCUGCUUGCAGCUGUCAUCGCAGGAAGGAUGGCUUCCCAAUCCGGCAUCAUUUGUCUGUGCAGUGAUGUCAUGUUGAUUGACCCCAGCUUUAACACAAUGAAUGCCAGCAUGUUGACUUUUGACCUGUUUAAUUCACUUGAUCAAGUAUCAGACAUACUGAAACCUGGCAGGACUACAGGAAAGUGGCUAGACUUGGAGUGUUUGUGUACUUAAAGAAGGAAUCUUGCACAUUUUCAACUUUCAGUCUCAGAUAUUUUCUUAUAAGAGCAAUUGGAAGUCUGAGCCAGCCCUCAAAGCGGAAAUCAAUAGCUCCCAGAGAAACAUACCCAAGGAAUGUGAAUCUGAUCCAGGAACCAUACGCAAUGCACAUACAGUACUGUCUUCCUUAUAGGAAGUCUGGCCGUAUAUGGACAUGUGUACCCUGAGCUAUUUUUCAUCAUGAUGGUCUUGUAGUUGGCUAUAGACAUUUCUAGUUUGCCUCAGGUUUAACGAUGUACAUUAAUUUCCUUCCCCAAAAGCCCUCCAGAAUAUUUCUUAAAUUGUAAUAAAUAUUAUCCUAAAAUCCUAAGGGAUCCA
rnacentral:lncRNA from 1 species